GAUGAAGAACGUAGCGAAAUGCGAUAAGUAAUGUGAAUUGCAGAAUUCAGUGAAUCAUCGAAUCUUUGAACGCACAUUGCGCCCCUUGGUAUUCCGAGGGGCAUGCCUAUUCGAGCGUCAUUAUCACCCCUCAAGCCUAGCUUGGUGUUGAGGCCUGCUGUCAAGGCAGCCUCUAAAAUCAGUGGCAGUGCUGUCAGGCUCUAAGCGUAGUAAAUCUAAUCGCUAUAGACACCUGGUGGACACUCGCCAGAACCCCCCCAUUUUUGAAUGAUUGACCUCGGAUUAGGUAGGGAUACCCGCUGAACUUAAGCAUAUCAAUAAGCGGAGGA
rnacentral:misc_RNA from 1 species